rnacentral:rRNA from 1 species
GCCUCAUACAUGUAAGUCGUACGCGAAGUCCCCCGCAAGGGGGAUUGUAGCGUGGCAAACGGGUGCGUAACACGUAAGCAACCUGCCUCGAAGUUGGGGAUAACAGCCCGAAAGGGCUGCUAAUACCGAAUGUGGUCAUUGUGUGGCAUCAUGUGAUGACUAAAGAUUAAUCGCUUCGAGAUGGGCUUGCGGCCUAUCAGGUAGUUGGUGGGGUAACGGCCUACCAAGCCGACGACGGGUAGCUGGUCUGAGAGGACGAUCAGCCGGAUUGGGACUGAGAUACGGCCCAGACUCCUACGGGGGGCAGCAAUUAGGAAUCUUGCACAAUGGGGGAAACCCUGAUGCAGCGACGCCGCGUGAAGGAUGAAGCUUCUCGGAGUGUAAACUUCUUUUGACAGGGAAGAACUUUGACGGUACCUGUCGAAUAAGCCCCGGCUAACUACGUGCCAGCAGCCGCAGUAACAC